GGAGGCAGCAGUGAGGAAUAUUGGUCAAUGGGCGAGAGCCUGAACCAGCCAAGUCGCGUGAGGGAAGAAUGGUCUAUGGCCUGUAAACCUCUUUUGUCAAGGAAGAAUAAGCGGCACGAGUGCCACCUUGCCAGUACUUGACGAAUAAGCAUCGGCUAACUCCGUGCCAGCAGCCGCGGUAAUACGGGGGAUGCGAGCGUUAUCCGGAUUUAUUGGGUUUAAAGGGCGCGUAGGCGGGACGGCAAGUCAGCGGUAAAAGACUGCAGCUAAACUGUAGCACGCCGUUGAAACUGUCGACCUGGAGACGAGACGAGGGAGGCGGAACAAGUGAAGUAGCGGUGAAAUGCAUAGAUAUCACUUGGAACCCCGAUAGCGAAGGCAGCUUCCCAGGCUCGGUCUGACGCUGAUGCGCGAGAGCGUGGGUAGCGAACAGGAUUAGAUACCCUGGUAGUCCACGCCGUAAACGAUGCUCACUGGAUCUUGGCGAUACACGGCCAGGGUUCAAGCGAAAGUAUUAAGUGAGCCACCUGGGGAGUACGUCGGCAACGAUGAAACUCAAAGGAAUUGACGGGGGCCCGCACAAGCGGAGGAACAUGUGGUUUAAUUCGAUGAUACGCGAGGAACCUUACCCGGGCUUGAAAGUUAGCGACGAUUCUUGAAAGAGGAUUUCCCUUCGGGGCGCGAAACUAGGUGCUGCAUGGUUGUCGUCAGCUCGUGCCGUGAGGUGUCGGGUUAAGUCCCAUAACGAGCGCAACCCCUAUCGCCAGUUGCCAUCGGUUCAAGCCGGGCACUCUGUCGAGACUGCCACCGUAAGGUGCGAGGAAGGCGGGGAUGACGUCAAAUCAGCACGGCCCUUACACCCGGGGCGACACACGUGUUACAAUGGCCGGUACAGAGGGCAGCCACGGGGUGACCCGGAGCGAAUCUCUAAAGCCGGUCGUAGUUCGGACUGGAGUCUGCAACCCGACUCCACGAAGUUGGAUUCGCUAGUAAUCGCGCAUCAGCCAUGGCGCGGUGAAUACGUUCCCGGGCCUUGUACACACCGCCCGUCAAGCCAUGGGAGCCGGGGGUACCUGAAGUGCGUAACCGCGAGGAGCGCCCUAGGGUAAAACUGGUGACUGGGGCUAAGUCGUAACAAGGUAGCCGUACCGGAAGGUGCGGCUG
rnacentral:rRNA from 1 species